UCCAGACUCCUACGGGAGGCAGCAGUGGGGGAUAUUGCACAAUGGGGGGAACCCUGAUGCAGCGACGCCGCGUGGGUGAAGAAGCGCCUCGGCGCGUAAAGCCCUGUCAGCAGGGAAGAAAAUGACGGUACCUGAAGAAGAAGCCCCGGCUAACUACGUGCCAGCAGCCGCGGUAAUACGUAGGGGGCAAGCGUUAUCCGGAUUUAUUGGGUUUAAAGGGUGCGUAGGCGGGCUGUUAAGUCAGCGGUCAAAUGUCGGGGCUCAACCCCGGCCUGCCGUUGAAACUGGCGGCCUCGAGUGGGCGAGAAGUAUGCGGAAUGCGUGGUGUAGCGGUGAAAUGCGUAGAUAUCACGCAGAACCCCGAUUGCGAAGGCAGCAUACCGGUGCACAACUGACGCUCAGGCACGAAAGCGUGGGUAUCGAACAGGAUUAGAUACCCCGGUACUC
rnacentral:rRNA from 1 species